rnacentral:lncRNA from 1 species
CUAAGCUCCCAGCCCCACUCCUCUCUACUCUGCCUGUUGCAAGGCCCUCCCGGCCCAGGCUUGGGAGAGAGGUGUGCCCUACACUGCCGUGAGCCCUGAGUGGACCCAGACGGCCAGAGGGAGCAGCCCUCAGCCCAGACUCCACAGCGCAGCCCAGCCCGUCCCUGCAGCCACGAUCGGAGUGCUACUUGGCACACAGACCACAGUGAAAGUGGAGAAACUGAGGCCCAGCAGCAAAAAGUGUCUCGUCGAAGGUCACGAAGGCAGGAAAUAGCAGAUGCCAGGAGGGUCAUGGCACUCAGAGAUGAAAGGAGUCCCUCAUGCCCGGCACUCCCCCGCCCACCAGCCAUCGUGGCCAUCCUGGGCACGUGAGCACCACUGCGCCAGCCCAGCCUGGAGCCUGGUACUGCUGGCCUUGGCAGGCAGACAUUGCUGGUCAGGAAUGCAGAAUCGGCCUUUAAAUACCUCAGCAAUUUCAUGCCCUGGCAUCUCCUUCUUCCCCACACCGCCCGAGGCGCCGCUGAGGCUUAAUGAGCUGUGAAGGUCCAUUUUUCAAAGUUAAACAUUUCCUGGGCUCCCUGGCCCAGCCUUUAGACACAGCCUGGCAAUGUCCCAGGUGUGGGGUUCA